UUGAACAAUAUGAGUAGUCAGAUGUGUGGUAUCUGGUUCUUUAACCUUGAAAAUAUUGAUAUUUCUGUUCUCGUGUGAUAAAAGAGCUUUUGAGCAAUGCACCUAAGAUAACUAGGAUUUGCUGUUUAAAACGAAUAUGAUUUUACUGUAAGCUUAUCUUGUAGAUGUAGAAUUCAGGGAGGCAUACCAAAAAGCGGUGAAGCAUUGAACAAUAUGAGUAGUCAGAUGUGUGGUAUCUGGUUCUUUAACCUUGAAAAUAUUGAUAUUUCUGUUCUCGUGUGAUAAAAGAGCUUUUGAGCAAUGCACCUAAGAUAACUAGGAUUUGCUGUUUAAAACGAAUAUGAUUUUACUGUAAGCUUAUCUUGUAGAUGUAGAAUUCAGCGUGGCAAGAGUUGUCUCUUGUAUUUCUUUUUUUUCCAUGUUCCUGGCUUACUCAUUUCCCAGCUCGUAUUUGACUGUCUUUCUUGUCUCUUGCCUGCUUGAAAUUGUCCUACUUAUUUAACUUUCGC
rnacentral:lncRNA from 1 species